AUGGUCUGGAGAAAGGCUCCUGUGUUGUUGGACCUGCCCAGCAUGAGUGCAGCCUUGUACCAGGCAGUCAGACCUUGACCUAGAGUAAGUGCCUGAACAAGUUCUCAUGGGUCUUGGAACUUUCAGUAACAGGUGUGAGUAUUCUAGCAGCAGUUUGGUGAUUAUGUAUGAUACUGCAAACAGGA
rnacentral:snoRNA from 12 species